rnacentral:rRNA from 1 species
UACGGAGGGUGCAAGCGUUGUCCGGAUUUAUUGGGUUUAAAGGGUGCGUAGGCGGAAUGAUAAGUCAGUGGUGAAAGCCUGCAGCUUAACUGCAGAACUGCCAUUGAUACUGUCAAUCUUGAGUACAUUUGAUGAGGGCGGAAUGUGUCAUGUAGCGGUGAAAUGCUUAGAUAUGACACAGAACACCGAUUGCGAAGGCAGCUCUCAAAACUGUAACUGACGCUGAGGCACGAAAGCGUGGGUAUCAAACAGGA